CAUGCAGUUGUAACUUCUUCAGUGUGUGAUUAUCUUUUGACUUUUCUAUUUAUUUAUUUUUUUUAAGAUCUUUAUGGUUAUGGCAAAAUCUUUCAUCAUCAGCAGAUGGUAUAAUGGACUACCAGUUGGAUGAUACACAGUCGUCUGAAACAUGAUAUAUACUUCUCCUCAUCCGUGUCCAUGGUCACCAAUGAAGCUAUUGAAAAAUAUAAGCUGCUGAAACUUGCCUUUAAAAUAAGGUAAGAAUUAAUUUCUCAUUUUAUUUUUAAUUAUUGUCAAUGUUACUAUCAAUGUUAUUGUAUAGUUUAACUAAUAGCAGAGAGUAGUUUUAAGUACGUUUACCCAAAUUAAGGGUAUUAUCUUAAGACUUAUGUGAAAAGUGCCUUCACAAAUCACGAUGUGGAAAGCAGGUAAGAAUCACUGCACAGUGUCUGUGUCUCCUCUAACUGAUUAUUCCUGUAGCUGGCACCAGUAACAGCAAAAAUGUAGGAAAGAGGAAACUGGUAAAGAAUACAGAGCUUCUGAUAAGCAAUUUUUAUUUCUCAGCUCAGGGAAACAAAAUCUAGGCAUUCAAAAACUAAUUAAGUACUUGAGAAAGGGAGGCAUGAGAUUCAUAAGUUUAAUUCAUGUUGUUACAACAGGCAUCCACAGUUCAAUUUUGCAUUCAUUGCUUUGAGAUGAGGUUUGUAUUAAAUCUGAGUAAAUUUAUUCAGAAUUUUAUGUAAGGCUUGGGGGGUUUUGGUUUUGUUUUUUUUUCCUUUUAUUGUUGUCAAAUAAUUUU
rnacentral:lncRNA from 1 species